AUGACCGUGGAGCAGAACGUGCUGCAGCAGAGCGCGGCGCAGAAGCACCAGCAGACGUUUCUGAAUCAACUACGAGAAAUUACAGGGAUUAAUGAUGCCCAGAUUCUACAGCAAGCCUUGAAGGAUAGUAAUGGAAACUUGGAGCUAGCAGUGGCUUUCCUUACUGCAAAGAAUGCCAAGACCCCUCAGCAGGAGGAGACCACUUACUACCAAACAGCGCUUCCUGGCAAUGACAGAUACAUCAGUGUGGGCAGCCAAGCAGAUACAAAUGUGAUUGAUCUUACUGGAGAUGAUAAAGAUGAUCUUCAGAGAGCAAUUGCCUUGAGUUUGGCGGAAUCAAACAGGGCAUUCAGGGAGACUGGAAUAACUGAUGAGGAACAAGCCAUUAGCAGAGUUCUUGAGGCCAGCAUAGCAGAAAAUAAAGAAUGUUUGAAGAGGACACCUACUGAAGUUUGGAGAGAUUCUCGAAACCCUUACGAUAGAAAAAGGCAGGACAAAGCUCCUGUUGGACUAAAGAAUGUUGGCAAUACUUGCUGGUUUAGUGCUGUUAUUCAGUCAUUAUUCAAUCUUUUGGAAUUCAGAAGAUUAGUUCUGAAUUACAAGCCUCCAUCAAAUGUUCAAGAUUUACCCCGAAACCAAAAGGAGCAUCGGAAUUUGCCUUUCAUGCGUGAGCUUCGAUAUCUAUUUGCACUUCUUGUUGGUACUAAAAGGAAAUAUGUUGAUCCAUCUAGAGCAGUUGAGAUUCUUAAAGAUGCUUUCAAAUCAAAUGACUCCCAGCAGCAAGACGUGAGUGAGUUUACACACAAAUUAUUAGAUUGGUUAGAAGAUGCCUUCCAAAUGAAAGCUGAAGAAGAGACGGAUGAAGACAAGCCAAAGAACCCCAUGGUAGAGCUGUUCUAUGGAAGAUUCCUAGCUGUGGGAGUGCUUGAACAUUGGUUUACUGAACUACCACCUGUGUUAACAUUUGAAUUGUCAAGAUUUGAAUUUAAUCAGGCACUGGGAAGACCAGAAAAAAUUCACAAUAAAUUAGAAUUUCCUCAAGUUUUAUAUCUGGACAGAUACAUGCAUAGAAACAGAGAAAUAACAAGAAUUAAGAGGGACGAGAUCAAGAGGCUAAAAGAUUACCUCACAGUAUUACAACAAAGACUUGAAAGAUAUUUAAGCUAUGGUUCGGGUCCCAAACGGUUUCCCUUGGUGGAUGUUCUGCAGUACGCCUUGGAAUUUGCCUCAAGUAAACCUGUUUGCACUUCUCCUGUUGAUGAUAUUGAUGCUAGUUCCCCAUCUAGUGGUUCCGUACCAUCACAGACAUUACCAAGCACAACAGACCAACAGGGAGCUCCUUCUUCAGAACUGCCAAGCACGUCACCCGUGUCAAUAGCUGCCAUUUCAUCAAGAUCAGUAAUACACAAACCAUUCACUCAGUCCCGGAUACCUCCAGACUUGCCCAUGCAUCCGGCACCAAGGCACAUAACAGAAGAAGAACUCUCUGUGCUGGAAAGCUGUUUACAUCGCUGGAGGACAGAAAUAGAAAAUGACACCAGAGAUUUACAGGAAAGCAUAUCUAGAAUCCAUCGCACAAUUGAGCUAAUGUACUCUGACAAAUCUAUGAUCCAAGUUCCUUAUCGUUUACAUGCUGUUUUAGUUCAUGAAGGUCAAGCUAAUGCCGGGCACUACUGGGCAUACAUUUUUGAUCAUCGUGAAAACAGGUGGAUGAAGUACAAUGAUAUUGCUGUAACAAAAUCAUCGUGGGAAGAGCUAGUGAGAGAUUCUUUUGGUGGUUACAGAAAUGCCAGUGCAUACUGUUUAAUGUACAUAAAUGACAAACCACAAUUCUUAAUACAAGAGGAGUUUAAUAAAGAAACUGGGCAGGCCCUUGCUGGAAUAGAAACACUACCCCCCGACUUAAGAGAUUUUGUUGAGGAAGACAACCAGCGAUUUGAGAAAGAACUAGAAGAAUGGGAUGCACAACUUGCUCAGAAAGCCUUGCAGGAAAAACUUCUAGCAUCUCAGAAACUGAGAGAGUCUGAGUCUUCUGUGACAACAGCACAAGCAGGAGAACCAGAAUAUCUAGAGCAGCCAUCAAGAAGUGAUUUCUCAAAGCACUUGAAAGAAGAAACCAUUCGAAUAAUUACCAAGGCAUCACAUGAGCAUGAAGAUAAAAGUCCUGAAACAGUUUUGCAGUCGAAACCUGAAAAUACCACAAGCCAGCCACCUUCUAAGCAGCAAGUUGUAGAGGUGGAGAUUCCUCAUGUAGGGACAUUUAUGAUUGAGUCAAAGGAGGGGGGUUAUGAUGAUGAGAUCAUGAUGACACCGAACAUGCAAGGUAUUAUCAUGGCCAUAGGUAAAUCCCGGAGUGUGUAUGACAGGUGUGGCCCUGAAGCAGGGUUCUUUAAGGCAAUUAAGUUGGAAUAUUCAAGGUUGGUUAAAUUGGCCCAAGAAGAUACCCCACCAGAAACAGACUAUCGUUUACAUCAUGUAAUAGUCUACUUUAUCCAGAAUCAGGCUCCAAAGAAAAUCAUUGAGAAAACAUUGCUAGAACAAUUUGCAGAUAGAAAUUUGAGUUUUGAUGAAAGGUGUCACAACAUAAUGAAAGUUGCUCAAGCCAAAAUUGAAAUGAUAAAACCUGAAGAAGUAAACAUGGAGGAGUAUGAGGAGUGGCAUCAGGAUUAUAGAAAAUUCAGGGAAACAACCAUGUAUAUCAUUAUUGGGCUAGAAAAUUUUCAAAGAGAAAGUUAUAUAGAUUCCUUGCUAUUCCUUAUCUGUGCUUAUCAGAAUAACAAGGAACUGUUGUCCAAAGGCCCAUACAGAGGACAUGAUGAAGAACUGAUAUCACAUUAUAGAAGAGAAUGUUUACUAAAAUUAAAUGAGCAAGCUGCAGAACUGUUUGAAUCUGGAGAGGAUAGAGAAGUAAACAAUGGUCUGAUUAUCAUGAAUGAAUUUAUUGUCCCGUUUUUGCCCCUGUUAUUGGUGGAUGAAAUGGAAGAGAAAGACAUACUUGCUGUAGAAGAUAUGAGAAAUCGAUGGUGUUCCUAUCUUGGACAAGAAAUGGAAUCAAACCUCCAAGAGAAGCUGACAGAUUUUCUGCCAAAGCUGCUCGAUUGUUCUACGGAGGUUAAAGGUUUCCAUGAGCCGCCUAAGUUACCUCCGUACUCCACACAUGAACUCUGUGAGCGAUUUACCCGAAUCAUGCUGUCCCUCAGUCGAACUCCUGCUGAUGGAAGAUAAACUGCACAUACU
rnacentral:lncRNA from 1 species